CCCUAUUUCCCUUUGUAUGAAAGAUUGAAAGGUGUCACUGACACACUCACUUCACUAGACCUCAGUUGACCAUUAUUUUGCUUCAGAAAAACCCUUCAAACCACUUCCAAUGGCCUCAGCCACGCAAGCAGCGACGAUCUACGGCGGUCUCUUCACCGCCGCCGCUCCUCUCCAAACAAAGCGUCGGUCUUUCACCUUCAGAAUCACAGCCUCAUCAAACUCCUCCAACCCACCCUUAGUCGGCCGCAAGCUCCGCGCCGCCGUCAUCGGCGCCGGCCCCGCCGGGUCCUCCGCCGCCGAGGCCUUGGCCGCCGGCGGAGCCGAGUGCUUCCUCUUCGAGCGAGCCCCCUCGGAAGCCAAGCCCUGCGGCGGAGCCAUUCCUCUCUGCAUGCUCGACGAGUUCGACAUCCCGGCCCGCCUCAUCGACCGCCACGUCACCCGCAUGAGGAUCUUCUCCCCCUCCAACCUCGCCGUCGACUUCGGCAAGACCCUCCGCCCCCACGAGUUCAUCGCCAUGCUCCGCCGCGAGGUCCUCGACUCCUUCCUCCGCGACCGCGCCCAGUCCCGCGGCGCCUCCCUCAUCUCCGGCCUCGUCACCCGCCUCGAGAUCCCCGCCUCCUCCCCCCACGCGCCCUACGUCGUCCACUACACCAAGGACCACGCGCGCCACGCGCUCGCCGUGGACGUCGUCGUCGGCGCGGACGGCGCCAACAGCCGCGUCGCCAAGUCGAUCAGAGCCGGAAGCUACGCCUGCGCCAUCGCUUUCCAGGAGAGGAUCAAACUCCCAGACGACAAAAUGGCCUACUACGAAGACCUCGCCGAAAUGUACGUCGGAAACGACGUGUCGCCCGACUUUUACGCCUGGGUCUUCCCCAAAUGCGACCACGUGGCAGUGGGCACCGGCACUGUGUGCUCCAAGCAGGACAUCAAGGUCUUCCAAAGGGCCAUCAGGGCCAGAGCCAAUGCCAAGAUCAGCGGUGGCAGAGUCAUCAAGGUAGAGGCCCACCCGAUACCCGAGCACCCCCGGCCCACGCGCGUGAGGGGGCGCGUGGCGCUAAUUGGCGACGCCGCCGGGUACGUGACAAAAUGUUCCGGCGAGGGGAUCUACUUUGCGGCGAAAUCGGGGAGAAUGUGCGGCGAGGCAAUAAUAAAGGCGUCGGAGGGAGGGGAGAGGAUGAUAAAUGAGGAGGAUUUGAAGAGGGAGUAUUUGAAAGAGUGGGAUGCUAAGUACAUUACGACGUUUAGGUUCUUGGACUUGUUGCAGAAGGUGUUUUAUGGCAGUGAUGCGGCUAGAGAAGCUUUGGUGGAGCUGUGUGGGGAUGAGUAUGUGCAGCGCAUGACGUUCGAGAGUUACUUGUACAAGAAGUUAGCCGAUGGGAAUAGGUGGGAUGAUGCUAAGAUGGUUUUGAAUACUGUUGGGAGUUUGAUGAGGUGUAACGUUUUGGGGAGGAAAAUGGAGGCUUUGAAGAUUUGAUUGAUUGCGCCGCAAGUCUCUGGUUUCGUUUAGAUGGAACUGUGGUUGGGGGCAGCAUUUCAGUUGUGUUGUAUGCGGUUUGAUUUCUUUCUUGAUGGUGUUGGUUAGGUGAAGAACUUGAAGUGAUUCAAGGCAUGUUGAACUUGGUGGGGAGCUACUUUGCAGGAAACUACAAGGAUUUUGCAUUCUAUCGCCAGAUACAUAACUGAAGAGCUGAGCAGAAAAGAGGUCCAAGGAUGCCCUUGUCACGUAGGAUAACAAUGGGAAAUAUGAUCUUGUUAAGCUUUGUCUCUGAAUUUUUAGCAAGGGCAUGUGGCUGAUGUUAAGCUGUAUAUUACUUUGGUGGAUGGUGCGCUAUACAUUUGAUAAUUCCAAAUUGUAAUGUGGAUAAAGUUGUGAAGGUAAAUUGAAUGUAUAGUCAAGUCUGAUGUGAUCCUUAUAAUGAGUUAUUGAACGUUACGUAUUGGAGUUGCAUACUGAAUGAAGACUUGACAAAUUGAAAAGAUCAAACUUGAGAAAUGGGGUUUGAGGAAAUCUGGGAAAGUAGGAAAUCUCUAAAAACUGCUGGAAUAAGUGGUGGAGACUGGAGAGCAGGGAAAGGAGGUAAACAUGGAUUCCUUUAUGAACUGUAUGGUCCUGAACUCCUGAUUGAUGCUCAACUAGGCCAUUUCUGUCUGUUUAUAAGAAGGGCUCGCACCUCUCAAGAGAAAGUUGGGAUUGAAAAGCCUUUCAAAUGUGAAAAGAUGGAUACUUAAUGAAGACAACUUAUGAGGAUGACUUGGCCAUGGGAAGAGUCCAUCUUGUUGAACUCAAGUAAAGGUGAAAUGGCUUCUUAUCUGGAACGGGUCACUUACCAUCCAAGCUUCAAUUUAGACAGGCAUCCCUUGAGGUAUAUAUUAUCCUUGCCCAAAUGGUUCAAUGGCUAAUUCCAUGCAUUAUAACAACUGGAAAUUCUUGAGCAUAACUCACACAGUUUUAUUGAUGGGAUUAUGUGCUGAUCAAGGGACAACUGUAUCUGUAGUAGAUGUAACUGUGACAUCCUGCAACUAGACGUUACUGCUUUACCCUGAGCUAUUGGAUUAACAAGAGGCUCUUGAGGUGUUGAACUUGGCUUCAUAUACCUAUGAUUAUAUUACCAUUGUUGAUUGGAGGUGAUACGAAAAACAAUUUCUGUUCAAGUAAUAUUGAUGAUACUGAUAACUGUGUGUAGAAUCAAUUACAGUGGAAUUCAGUGAUUUGUGAUUAAUGGAGAAGGAUUCAUUUUUCUCUUAGCAUUUUGAUGUUGGUCUGCUCUACCAACUCACUACAUUUUCUCAGCUCAUGGCAGCAUCAAGCAUCAAAUUUGUUUAUUAAAAUAGAAAUGGGAUGCAUAUUUGCAGUUAUCAGUUGUUAUUGUUGCUGUGUUUUCGUAUGUUUGUGAAAUUGCUGCCCUGCAAGCUACAGUGUAUUGAAGAUUCUAAUGGGGCAUGACAAUCCAGUGCGUUAUGGAGUGGUAAAGGUAAAGAUAGUGUUUGUUUAUUAUGGAGUAGUGCAAAAGAUGUGAUUGAUCAUGUGAAUUGCUGGAUACCAUACCUACAAAGGGUGAAAAUGUGUUCAGGGAACAUUUUUAAGGGUAGUCUGUCGACUUCUAGACAUGCCUCGCCAUGACAUAAAAAAACAGAAUGAAUUUGGUUUUUUCUUUAUAGAGAAGUUCUUCCAUUGACCAUCUACUCUGUAACUAUGCAAAGCAGACAAGGUUGGACUAUUAUUUCCAGAGAUUUGACCUACCUAUCAGUUUGCUUGCUUUCAACUUUUGGAGGGCUGGAGAGGCUGCAGAAUGGGAGGCUUGCCCUUUCGACACUCAUCUGCUUAGUACCUGAGGCAUUGCGUAGGAAGAGCUCUAUGAAGUCAUCUUUGCCAAAGGAGAGGUAGAAGAUGGAAGAUUUGAUGAAACUGAGAGCUCUGUCCUCGCUAAGCUGCAAUUGUAAGAGUUGCAUAGAAUCAAAAACUUGGCGGAGCUGCUGGUUCACAGACUGAUAACUCUGGCUGCCGUGAUUCAAGAUCGUUGCAUGUGCUGAACCGAAGUUAAGGCCUCUUUGUAUUCCAUUAAUGGAUCCAUUUUGACUGUAGAAUGGUAAAAUGUUUGGCAUGCCCAUCUUCUCAGCUGUGGAUAUAACAAGUCAUUGUAAAAUGAUAAAAGACAUCAAAGCAAGGAGAUGAGCAAGUGAUGGUUACCAAGAAGAUGGGGAAUAAGAGUUGAGCCGUCGGAACCAUUACACGAAUACAAGGACAGAUAACUGUGAAUGAGAGGGUAAAAGAGCGUGUUGUCUCCGCAAUCAACAGAGGAAUCCCCCAAUAUGUAGAAUGCUGCAGAGUCAUUUCUACAAUUUUGGACACUCGAAGCCUGUUUCAGUUUCCCUUGAGCCAAAACCAUAAACCCCAUGACCAAUAGAGCUAGAUGAUGAACGAGAAGCAAACCCGUUGUUUUGGAAGAGAGGGUUUCUUUCAUUGUUGUCAUCUUACUUUGGUUCUGUUGUGUGGCUCGCAUUUCACUGCUUGAUACUAAUGUUGCGUUCAGCAUUUGAGUUUCAGUGCAUGGUGUUUGUGUGUAUCGGUUAGGCGAUAGGCGUAACAAGUAUGAUUGAUGGUUCAUUAA